rnacentral:antisense_RNA from 1 species
GACCAGGGAAGGCACCCCACGUCUAUGGGGAAAUUAGCCUGAGACUUAGCUUUCAUUAUCACUGUCUCCCAGGGUGUGCUUGUCAAAGAGAUAUUCUGCCAAGCCAGAUUCGGGUGCUCCCAUCUUGCGCAAGUUGGUCACGUGGUCACCCAAUUCUUUGAUGGCUUUCACCUGCUCAUUCAGGGCACUAAUAUACACAUGAUGAUACUUAAUUCUCUCAGAAAACCUUUGGCAAAGACACUGUCUACAUCUUGAAGGCAAGGAAUCUGAAUCUUGAAGAGAUUAAAUGAAUUGUCCAAAGUCACGUGGGGGUUUGGGAGAAGGAAAAUCAUGAACACACAUUCUUCUACUCUGGAGAAGUGGGGAAGGUGACCUGGGAAACCAUAUGAAAGGGAGCAGGAUGGAUUCUAUAAAAUAUAGAGUGUUCAGUGAAAACAACCUGAUGCUCCUCCCAGUACCAUCACAUUUUUCUAGCUGCAUAUCCCUAGGUAAGUCAAUGUCUGAAUUUCAGUUUCCUCACUGUUAAAUGGGAUAAUAAGCUUUACCUUACAGGAUUA